rnacentral:lncRNA from 1 species
UAAGACUUUUAACUUAUUGCUCAGAAUAUUUUAAUAUUUUUGUGUUUUCAAAUAUUUAUUACAGUAAGAAAAGACUGAGCUGUGGAAGAGUGAAAAAAUGACAAUAUUUCUUUCUUUCAUAAGGUCUUGAAUGUAAUAAAUGCACUGGACAAGGCAUAAAGACUUCUAUUAAUGCUAUGAAAAUUAACUACAUCACAUUAGCAGCAGAAAAUCUUCAAAGGGCUCCUCCUACAGAUGUUCUGAACAGCUGUGCAUCAUAGCAAUUCAUUACUAUACCCAGAUCUUGAAAACUAAGGAACAGACACUUUGGGGAAAUUAUUUUG